AACGAAGCUGGCGGCAGGCUUAACAUAUGCAAGUCGAGCGGGCGUAGCAAUACGUCAGCGGCAGACGGGUGAGUAACGCGUGGGAACAUACCUUUUGGUUCGGAACAACACAGGGAAACUUGUGCUAAUACCGGAUAAGCCCUUACGGGGAAAGAUUUAUCGCCGAAAGAUUGGCCCGCGUCUGAUUAGCUAGUUGGUGAGGUAACGGCUCACCAAGGCGACGAUCAGUAGCUGGUCUGAGAGGAUGAUCAGCCACAUUGGGACUGAGACACGGCCCAAACUCCUACGGGAGGCAGCAGUGGGGAAUAUUGGACAAUGGGCGCAAGCCUGAUCCAGCCAUGCCGCGUGAGUGAUGAAGGCCCUAGGGUUGUAAAGCUCUUUUGUGCGGGAAGAUAAUGACGGUACCGCAAGAAUAAGCCCCGGCUAACUUCGUGCCGGCAGCCGCGGUAAUACGAAGGGGGCUAGCGUUGCUCGGAAUCACUGGGCGUAAAGGGUGCGUAGGCGGGUCUUUAAGUCAGGGGUGAAAUCCUGGAGCUCAACUCCAGAACUG
rnacentral:rRNA from 1 species